CAGCUCCUUCGGGGCAGGGUGGAAUUCCCGACCGGCGGUGACAGCCCGCGAAGCCUUAGGCCCGGCCUAAGGCCCGACCCGGUGGAACUCCGGGGCCGACGGUGACAGUCCGGAUGGGAGAAGGAGGUG
rnacentral:ncRNA from 2 species